rnacentral:rRNA from 1 species
AAACUUUCAACAACGGAUCUCUUGGCUCUCGCAUCGAUGAAGAACGCAGCGAAAUGCGAUAAGUAAUGUGAAUUGCAGAAUUCAGUGAAUCAUCGAAUCUUUGAACGCACCUUGCGCCCUCUGGUAUUCCGGAGGGCAUGCCUGUUUGAGUGUCAUGUAGACUCAAUCCCUCGGGUUUCCGAGGAGAUUGGACUUGGGUGUUGCCGCUUCUGCCGGCUCACCUUAAAAGACUUAGCGGGAUAGCACCGUAGUCGGCGUAAUAAGUUUCGUCGGUGAAGGUUGUGAUGACUGCUUACAAUCGCCCUCGGGCAAUUUUUGACUCUGACCUCAAAUCAGGUAGGACUACCCGCUGAACUUAAGCAUAUCAAUAAGCGGAGGAAAAGAAACUAACAAGGAUU